rnacentral:rRNA from 1 species
GACGAACGCUGGCGGCGUGCUUAACACAUGCAAGUCGAACGGAAAGGCCCUGCUUUUGUGGGGUGCUCGAGUGGCGAACGGGUGAGUAACACGUGAGUAACCUGCCCUUGACUUUGGGAUAACUUCAGGAAACUGGGGCUAAUACCGGAUAGGAGCUCCUGCUGCAUGGUGGGGGUUGGAAAGUUUCGGCGGUUGGGGAUGGACUCGCGGCUUAUCAGCUUGUUGGUGGGGUAGUGGCUUACCAAGGCUUUGACGGGUAGCCGGCCUGAGAGGGUGACCGGCAACAUUGGGACUAAGAUACGGCCCAGACUCCUACGGGGGGCAGCGGGGGGAAAUAUUGCACAAUGGGCGGAAGCCUGAUGAGGCAACGCCGCGUGCGGGAUGACGGCCUUCGGGUUGUAAACCGCUUUCGCCUGUGACGAAGCGUGAGUGACGGUAAUGGGUAAAGAAGCACCGGCUAACUACGUG